CCCGUGCUAUUCAUAGCUCACUUAG
rnacentral:tRNA from 1 species